AGUGGACGCUGGCGGUAGGCCUAACACAUGCAAGUCGAACGGCAGCACAGUAAGAGCUUGCUCUUACGGGUGGCGAGUGGCGGACGGGUGAGGAAUACAUCGGAAUCUACUUUUUCGUGGGGGAUAACGUAGGGAAACUUACGCUAAUACCGCAUACGACCUACGGGUGAAAGCAGGGGAUCUUCGGACCUUGCGCGAUUGAAUGAGCCGAUGUCGGAUUAGCUAGUUGGCGGGGUAAAGGCCCACCAAGGCGACGAUCCGUAGCUGGUCUGAGAGGAUGAUCAGCCACACUGGAACUGAGACACGGUCCAGACUCCUACGGGAGGCAGCAGUGGGGAAUAUUGGACAAUGGGCGCAAGCCUGAUCCAGCCAUACCGCGUGGGUGAAGAAGGCCUUCGGGUCGUAAAGCCCUUUUGUUGGGAAAGAAAGGCAGCAGGUUAAUACCCCGCUGUUCUGACGGUACCCAAAGAAUAAGCACCGGCUAACUUCGUG
rnacentral:rRNA from 1 species